rnacentral:rRNA from 1 species
GACGAACGCUGGCGGCGUGCUUAACACAUGCAAGUCGAACGGAAAGGCCCUGCUUUUGUGGGGUGCUCGAGUGGCGAACGGGUGAGUAACACGUGAGUAACCUGCCCUUGACUUUGGGAUAACUUCAGGAAACUGGGGCUAAUACCGGAUAGGAGCUCCUGCUGCAUGGUGGGGGUUGGAAAGUUUCGGCGGUUGGGGAUGGACUCGCGGCUUAUCAGCUUGUUGGUGGGGUAGUGGCUUACCAAGGCUUUGGCGGGUAGCCGGCCUGGGAGGGUGACCGGCCACAUUGGGACUGAGAUACGGCCCAGACUCCUACGGGAGGCAGCAGUGGGGAAUAUUGCACAAUGGGCGGAAGCCUGAUGCAGCAACGCCGCGUGCGGGAUGACGGCCUUCGGGUUGUAAACCGCUUUCGCCUGUGACGAAGCGUGAGUGACGGUAAUGGGUAAAGAAGCACCGGCUAACUACGUG